GUGUUUGAGUUGUCGAUAGGUAAUUGUCCCUGCAAUUACUUAUAUUAACUGUUUGCUUUAAAACAUGAGUAUUUACUAUAUAAAAGUACGCAAUCGGCAUACCUUCCAUGUUAAAACACUUGUUCUUGCACAAACUUGCCGCACAACCUCUGUUAAUUAAACAUAAAAUAUUAUAAGCAACAUAGACAAUAUAUCAAAAAUUUAAGACUUCUCGUAAGAACAUAUAAUACCAUAAGCAACACAGCAAAUACUUACUUAUAUGUCUUUUUCUUCAAACAAAUUCUGAAAAACUUCUUUGUAAACGACAUUCAUAGUUGACCUCUGUGGCUUCCCAACUUUGUCUGUAAGUAAAAUCUUUAACCCUUUCAUGGAUUUCACUUUGUGGGUUUUAACCAGGGUUGACCUUUGUGGCUAUUAUGUAUUAUAAUAUUAAAUAUGUUUUAAUAUCUUUGAAAGUGAUGUCUCGUUAUAAUGGUUGCAUGAACUAUAAAGCGUAUCGUU
rnacentral:lncRNA from 1 species